rnacentral:rRNA from 1 species
CGGGGGGGGCAAGCGUUGUUCGGAAUUACUGGGCGUAAAGGGCUCGUAGGCGGCCAACUAAGUCAAACGUGAAAUCCCUCGGCUUAACCGGGGAACUGCGCUUGAUACUGGAUGGCUUGAGAUUGGGAGAGGGAUGCGGAAUUCCAGGUGUAGCGGUGAAAUGCGUAGAUAUCUGGAGGAGCACCGGUGGCGAAGGCGGCAUCCUGGACCAACACUGACGCUGAGUGAGCGAAAGCCAGGGGAGCAAACGGGAUUAGAUACCCCGGUAGUCCUGGCCCUAAACGAUGAAUGCUUGGUGUGGCGGGUAUCGAUCCCUGCCGUGCCGAAGCUAACGCAUUAAGCAUUCCGCCUGGGGAGUACGGUCGCAAGGCUG